GCAGUCGUGGCCGAGUGGUUAAGGCGAUAGACUAGAAAUCCAUUGCGGUCUCCCCGCACAGGUUCGAAUCCUGUCGACUGCG
rnacentral:tRNA from 1 species